CACGUAGGGGGCAAGCGUUGUCCGGAUUUAUUGGGCGUAAAGAGCGUGUAGGCGGCUAGAUAGGUCCGUUGUGAAAACUCGAGGCUCAACCUCGAGACGUCGAUGGAAACCAUCUGGCUAGAGUCCGGAAGAAGAGAGUGGAAUUCCUGGUGUAGCGGUGAAAUGCGCAGAUAUCAGGAAGAACACCCGUGGCGAAGGCGGCUCUCUGGUACGUGACUGACGCUGAGACGCGAAAGCGUGGGGAGCAAACAGG
rnacentral:rRNA from 1 species